AGGAAUCUGCCUGGUAGUGGGGGACAACGUUUCGAAAGGAACGCUAAUACCGCAUACGUCCUACGGGAGAAAGCAGGGGACCUUCGGGCCUUGCGCUAUCAGAUGAGCCUAGGUCGGAUUAGCUAGUUGGUGAGGUAAUGGCUCACCAAGGCGACGAUCCGUAACUGGUCUGAGAGGAUGAUCAGUCACACUGGAACUGAGACACGGUCCAGACUCCUACGGGAGGCAGCAGUGGGGAAUAUUGGACAAUGGGCGAAAGCCUGAUCCAGCCAUGCCGCGUGUGUGAAGAAGGUCUUCGGAUUGUAAAGCACUUUAAGUUGGGAGGAAGGGUUGUAGAUUAAUACUCUGCAAUUUUGACGUUACCGACAGAAUAAGCACCGGCUAACUCUGUGCCAGCAGCCGCGGUAAUACAGAGGGUGCAAGCGUUAAUCGGAAUUACUGGGCGUAAAGCGCGCGUAGGUGGUUUGUUAAGUUGGAUGUGAAAGCCCCGGGCUCAACCUGGGAACUGCAUCCAAACUGGCAAGCUAGAGUACGGUAGAGGGUGGUGGAAUUUCCUGUGUAGCGGUGAAAUGCGUAGAUAU
rnacentral:rRNA from 1 species